UACAGAGGUCCCAAGCGUUGUUCGGAUUCAUUGGGCGUAAAGGGUGUGUAGGUGGCGCCGUAAGUCGGGUGUGAAAUCUCGGGGCUUAACUCCGAAACUGCAUUCGAUACUGGCGUGCUUGAGGACUGGAGAGGAGACUGGAAUUCAUGGUGUAGCAGUGAAAUGCGUAGAGAUCAUGAGGAAGACCAGUGGCGAAGGCGGGUCUCUGGACAGUUCCUGACACUGAGGCGCGAAAGCGUGGGGAGCAAACGGG
rnacentral:rRNA from 1 species